UCACUCAUUGUUGGAGUAGUGAGUAUGACGUGUUAAUCCAGAAGAAGAAGCAUCUCCGAAGCUUUAACUGAUUCACUAUUACUGUGUCGACAUCAAUCAUUUACCGCUUUUGUUAUUGCUUGUUCAUGCACCUACAAUAACUAACAACUAUCUUCUAUUCGCCUGACUGAGAUCUGCAGGAUAACUACAGAUUGUUCAAUCUAACAAUUCUCAUAGGAUUGACCCUUACUCACCUAAGGCAUUACUUGGACGACCCGGUGCACUUGUCGGUUAAGUUGUGUGGAGUUCAAUUUUGCGCACCAAUGAGCGAUAAUCAAUGCAAUCGAAAAACAGUUUUCUUUUAAAUAUCCUCUUAUAACAAUUCUUAAACCCUCUACUAAGAAUCCUUUCGAGGAAGAUGUUAUCACUCCCCUACAGAAAUUCUUUUCCAGUGACAGGUUCAGGAAGCUUUGGCACGAAGCCACGAUUUGAACUACAGAGCUUUACGUGUAUAUAUGUUUUCAUUUUCUGUAUAUGAUUUAGCCUUAGAUCUUAUUUUACCCCUCUUCAUUUGUCAUUUUGAGAAUUAAGAGGGGCACGACUUAUAUAUUAAGAAGUUUUGGAUAAGUCUAUAUAUUUAUUAUUACGUGAAUAUGAUAUAUGACUGUGUGAUUUUAAAGUAAAGACUUUUCGCUUUUGUAUUAAAAAUUCAAUUCAUAUUCGUGAAGGCUCAAUAUUAAAUAAAUAUAGUAUAAAAAUUAAAUGAUUAUAGGUAAGUAACAUCUGAACUUUUAGUACGAUCAUGAGGUGUUAAAAGUAAGGGUGUUACAUUUUCCCUCUUCCUAAUAUUAUGUAAAUCGUCCUAGGGUGAUAAGGGUUAUCAAAUAUAUUAAACAUAGCACCUUAGGAUGAUUUAUUUUCCUAAUUAAAAAUAGCCAUAAAUCGUGCCAGGGUGCCCAUGGUUACAACUUGUGUAUAAAUUGUGCCAUCCUGGUAGGAUUUACGUGAUUUUGGGUUAAAGCACAAAGGCUUGCCACGAUUAAUGUGCUUCUAUAACCCUAAAAAUCCUGGCGCGAUUUACGUUAUCUUUACUGAAUCUAAUAGGCAUGCCAUGAUUCACAUGUGAUGUAGUAACCCUGAGGAGCCUAGAACAAUUUAUGGCUAUAAAAACUCUAUAAAUAAACGAGUGUGGCGUAAACAAAUCACACUUGAAGUUUUGUGAGUAUAGGGAAAGAUGGCUGAGAGUAUAUUUUUGUUAGUUCAUCAUCGAGGGAAGAUUGAUGAAAAUACAAGUGAAGGUGUUGUGUUCUCUAGUAAAAAGCAGAUAGGUGUGUUUGUAAAUCUGUCAACGACUUUGAUGGAAUUACAUAGUAGUAUAUUACAGAAGGCAUGAAAGUGUGGCAAAAAAUGUGUGAAGCAAUUAUUUUUUCGCAUUCCUAUAUCACUGAGGCAAUGUUAUGUUAGGCUUGAAAAGCACAAGAUGCUGGGCUAUGACGACAUGCGAGUUAUAUUCUACGAUCAAGCAAGAUUUUUCGACUUGGGCGCUACGGAGUUGUUUGCCAGAAUGGUUGACGUAAAGAGUACCUCUGGUGGAUAUGCUCUGAACCCGCCAACUGGAAUCAUAGAAGGGAGUUCCACCGCAAUUCCAGCUGGUCAACCGGUGACUCCCUUUGUUUUAUCCCCAUCAUUUGUGGCUGAUUUGCCCAUUCCGGCAGAUGACUUGGGUGAUGUGCGUAGCUUCGAAUAGCUUGCAGUUGCAAUGGGAGCAGCACCAUAGUAGACGGUGCACCGGAAUUCAUGGAGACAAGAGAGAGUGAUCCAUUUGCGGAGGCUAUAGGCGAUGAUGGGUAAAAUUCAGAGCCACCAAUUAUUGGUGAUGAAAGCGAUGGCGAGGAAGACACCACAUAUGCCGGGGGAGUACAAACCCAUGCAAGCAGACAGACACAGUAGUAUCCUUGACACUUUUUCACUUUGGACCUUGAUGCAAUGAACCAGCCAACAUUUGUAGAUCAGCAGCACCGUACUAUUCAUGGAGAUAGGCUUAGUGUAAACCCCGAUUAAAUUAGUAAAUAAUUAGUCAAUAAAUUAGUUUUUAAUAAUGAGGAUUAGAAAUGUGAAUAUUAUAUCAAAUUAGGAUAGAGCUCAUCGAAACGAGAAUUUUGACACUAAUUUCGAAAAAAACGGUCCAAAAUUGGACCGAACGAACCGAACCGGUUGAACUGGACCCGAACCGAGCUGUCGGUCCAACCGGACCAGCCCUUUUAAUUGAACCCAAGCCUUCGUCCCCCUCAUUUCAACGUAAACGAAGCUGAAAGCUUCCCAGGGAAAAGAAGAAUGAAACAUUCCCGUAACCCUCACGUAAAUUUCCAACUCCCGUAACUUUUCCGUCCGAGCUCCAAUCGCCGCACCGUUUGUGGUCACGCGUUUACCGCGUAGAGCUCUACGUUUCUAUCAGAACAAUUUCAUAGGUAACUUGUUUAAUUACUCUCAGCCUUCUCUUUCUCCAAUUUUCGAAUUUUAAGUGAAAAUGUUGAAUUUCUUUGAUUUCUGAUGUUUUAGGAUCCAAUUAGCUUGAGGAAAAUGUUCACUCUUGCUUAUGUGAAGCUUGGGUAAGGUUGAAAAUAAAUAAUUGGAGCUUGAAAUUGUGAAUACUGGAACUUGGAGGAAGCGGAUUAGUUGAGGUUUCGAGGGCUGUGUUCUUUUAGGAAAAUUGUCUUGGAAUAAUACUUGGGAAUUGGCUAAGGUAUUUUCUGGCUGAAAUUGAGGGACCUGAGCAAAAAUCUGAUCCAGAGACCAAAAAGGACUGCAGAUGCUGUUGGAUUCUGACCUCCCUGCACUCGAAGCGGAUUUUCUGGAGCUACAGAAGCCCAAUUGGCGCGCUCUCAACGGCGUUGGAAAGUAGACAUCCUGGGCUUUCCAGCAAUAUAUGAUAGUCCAUACUUUGCCCAAGAUUUGAUGGCCCAAACCGGCGUUCAAAGUCACCUCAAGAAAUUCCAGCGUUAAACGCCGGAACUGGCACCUAAUUGGGAGUUAAACGCCCAAACUGGCACUAAAGCUGGCGUUUAACUCCAAGGAGAGUCUCUACACGAAAUUUCUUCAUUGCUCAGUCCAAACACACACCAAGUGGGCCCGGAAGUGGAUUUUUAUGUCAUUUACUCAUCUAUGUACUAGUUUUCUAUAAGUAGGACCUUUUACUAUUUUAGUAUUAGGGAGAUCUUGGUAGCUAUCUUUGAGCUUUAUGCUAUCUUAGAUCAUUGGGAGGCUGGCCAUUCGGCCAUGCCUAGACCUUAUGCUUAUGUAUUUUCAACGGUGGAGUUUCUACACACCAUAGAUUAAGGUGUGGAGCUCUGCUGUAC